rnacentral:lncRNA from 1 species
UGAAACAAAAUUUACUCUUGUUGGUUCACCUGUUGGAUUGGAGGUGAAGAAGCUAAAGGUAGUACUUGUGAAGAGCUUGAUGAGUGUUGUACAUGAUGCUGAUCAUGUUGUACCUCUCUGUUCUUAGGGAAAAUGAGUGUAAUGAAUGGACCACUAUUCUCCUCAUUAUCUUUACACAUCUUUGAACUUGAUGAAACUUCAAGAUUUUGAUCAAAUCUUCUACAAAACUUGUCUUCUGCAUCCC